AACGAACGCUGGCGGCAUGCCUAACACAUGCAAGUCGAACGAGACCUUCGGGUCUAGUGGCGCACGGGUGCGUAACGCGUGGGAACCUGCCCUUAGGUUCGGAAUAACUCCCCGAAAGGGGUGCUAAUACCGGAUAAUGUCUUCGGACCAAAGAUUUAUCGCCUUUGGAUGGGCCCGCGUUGGAUUAGCUAGUUGGUAGGGUAAAAGCCUACCAAGGCGACGAUCCAUAGCUGGUCUGAGAGGAUGAUCAGCCACACUGGGACUGAGACCAGGCCCAGACCCCAGGGGGGGGGGGGGGGGGGGAAAUUUGGGAAGGGGGCCAAAGCCAGCACCGGAAAGGCCGGGUGGGUGAUGAAGGGUUUGGGGUUGUAAAGCUCUUUUACCGGGGAGUAAAAUAAGGGAACGGGGAAAAAAGCCCCCGCCAACUUCCGG
rnacentral:rRNA from 1 species